AACGUAGGAGACAAACGUUAUCCGGAGUUACUGGGCGUAAAGGGCGUGUAGGUGGUUUCGUAAGUCUGGCGUGAAAUAUCUCGGCUUAACCGAGGCAGGUCGUCGGAUACUGCGGGACUAGAGGACGGUAGAGGAGUGUGGAAUUCCUGGUGGAGCGGUGAAAUGCGCAGAGAUCAGGAGGAACACCCGUAGCGAAGGCGGCACUCUGGGCCGAUACUGACACUGAGGAGCGAAAGCGUGGGGAGCGAACAGG
rnacentral:rRNA from 1 species